AUCGCCUUCUGAAAAUACACAAAUAGAAGGUCCCGCCUGCCCUGUGAUCAUGGAUUUAACGGCCGCGGUAUUUUGACCGUGCAAAGGUAGCGCAAUCACUUGUCUUUUAAAUGAAGACCUGUAUGAAUGGCAUAACGAGGGCUUGACUGUCUCCCUCACCCAGUCAGUGAAAUUGAUUUUCCCGUGCAGAAGCGGGGAUAAGAACAUAAGACGAGAAGACCCUGUGGAGCUUUAGAUAAUAAAUGGACCCCGUAAAGAAUGCCUUAUUAACGGACAAAACAAAGAGUCAACCCAUUUUGCUGUCUUUGGUUGGGGCGACCGCGGGGAAAAGAAUAACCCCCAUGAGGAAUCUGAGCACCACUCUUUAAAUGGAGAGCAUCAGCUCAACAUAACAGAACAUCUGACCUAUAAUGAUCCGGUAGAAAUACCGAUCAACGAAACCAGUUACCCCAGGGAUAACAGCGCAAUCCUCUCCCAGAGCCCAUAUCGACGAGAGGGUUUACGACCUCGAUGUUGGAUCAGGACAUCCUAAUGGUGCAGCCGCUAUUAAGGGUUCGUUUGUUCAACGAUUAAAGUCCUACGUGAU
rnacentral:rRNA from 2 species